rnacentral:rRNA from 1 species
AUGCAAGUCGAACGGUAACAUUUCUAGCUUGCUAGAAGAUGACGAGUGGCGGACGGGUGAGUAAUGCUUGGGAACUUGCCUUUGCGAGGGGGAUAACAGUUGGAAACGACUGCUAAUACCGCAUAAUGUCUUCGGACCAAACGGGGCUUAGGCUCCGGCGCAAAGAGAGGCCCAAGUGAGAUUAGCUAGUUGGUAAGGUAACGGCUUACCAAGGCGACGAUCUCUAGCUGUUCAGAGAGGAAGAUCAGCCACACUGGGACUGAGACACGGCCCAGACUCCUACGGGAGGCAGCAGUGGGGAAUAUUGUACAAUGGGGGAAACCCUGAUGCAGCCAUGCCGCGUGUGUGAAGAAGGCCUUCGGGUUGUAAAGCACUUUCAGUUGUGAGGAAAAGUUAGUAGUUAAUACCUGCUAGCCGUGACGNUUAUAACAGAAGAAGCACCGGCUAGCUCCGUGCCAGCAGCCGCG